AGAGUUUGAUCAUGGCUCAGAUUGAACGCUGGCGGCAUGCUUUACACAUGCAAGUCGAGCGGCAGCGCGGGGGCAACCCUGGCGGCGAGCGGCGAACGGGUGAGGAAUACAUCGGAACGUGCCCGAGAGUGGGGGAUAACGCCGCGAAAGCGGCGCUAAUACCGCAUAUUCUCUGAGGAGGAAAGUGGGGGACCGCAAGGCCUCACGCUCACGGAGCGGCCGAUGUCGGAUUAGCUAGUUGGUGGGGUAAAGGCUUACCAAGGCGACGAUCCGUAGCUGGUCUGAGAGGAUGAUCAGCCACACUGGGACUGAGACACGGCCCAGACUCCUACGGGAGGCAGCAGUGGGAAUUUGGACAAUGGGGCAACCCUGAUCCAGCCAUGCCGCGUGCGGGAAGAAGGCCUUCGGGUUGUAAACCGCUUUUAACCGGGAAGAAAAGGCAUCUCUUAAUACGGGGUGUUCUUGACGGUACCGGUGGAAUAAGCACCGGCUAACUACGUG
rnacentral:rRNA from 1 species